rnacentral:rRNA from 1 species
GCGGGCGUAGCAAUACGUCAGCGGCAGACGGGUGAGUAACGCGUGGGAACGUACCUUUUGGUUCGGAACAACACAGGGAAACUUGUGCUAAUACCGGAUAAGCCCUUACGGGGAAAGAUUUAUCGCCGAAAGAUCGGCCCGCGUCUGAUUAGCUAGUUGGUGAGGUAACGGCUCACCAAGGCGACGAUCAGUAGCUGGUCUGAGAGGAUGAUCAGCCACAUUGGGACUGAGACGCGGCCCAAACUCCUACGGGAGGCAGCAGUGGGGAAUAUUGGACAAUGGGCGCAAGCCUGAUCCAGCCAUGCCGCGUGAGUGAUGAAGGCCCUAGGG